CUCGGGCCUGAAAGGGGAUCUGGGCUGUGUACCAUGAGAUCCACACUUCACCCUGUAUUUGUCAGCUGCUCUCCAUACAGGUUUCCUGAUUCUGAGCCAGAUAAGAGUUUGGCACACCCCUGUCAUCUAAGUUGGAGGCUUAGAGAAGUAAGCAACCGAGGCGAGUUCCAGCUGGUCCUCACAGCUCACCUUCACAGGAUCCAGUUUAUCUUUGCUUUCUUCAUUUGCAUUCCAUCUUCUCUCCCCAAGCACAGGCAUGGAUGUGGAACACAAGCUGGACUAAUUGUAAUAUGGAGUCACCUACAAAGAGAUGUGUGA
rnacentral:lncRNA from 13 species